UAUUUAUUUUGGCUUGUUGUCUUUUUCCUUUUUUCAGGAACUUUCUGGUGAUGAAGGAGCCUUUGACAAAGCUCUUUUAAAGUUCUAUGUGAAUCAAAAAGUAAAAUCACUGAAGAGGAAGUUAUCAUCUGCUGGUAGAAGAAAUGUGAUUCAUGGUGCCAAAAAGGUCUGCAUGCCAGGGGUUU